CCUACGGGGGGCAGCAGUGGGGAAUAUUGGGCAAUGGAGGAAACUCUGACCCAGCAACGCCGCGUGAAUGAUGAAGGUCUUCGGAUUGUAAAGUUCUUUUCUAAGGGAAGAAGAAAGUGACGGUACCAAAGGAAUAAGCCCCGGCUAACUACGUGCCAGCAGCCGCGGUAAUACGUAGGGGGCAAGCGUUGUUCGGAAUGACUGGGCGUAAAGGGUGUGUAGGUGGUUUGAUAAGUUAGAUGUGUAAUACCCAGGGCUUAACUCGGGUGCUGCAUCUAAAACUGUUAGACUUGAGUACUGGAGAGGAUAGUGGAAUUCCUAGUGUAGCGGUGGAAUGCGUAGAUAUUAGGAGGAACAUCAGUGGCGAAGGCGACUAUCUGGACAGCAACUGACACUGAGGCACGAAAGCGUGGGGAGCAAACAGGAUUAGAUACCCCUGUAGUC
rnacentral:rRNA from 1 species